UUCGAACGCGAUGCGACUACGAUCGACAUCGGAACUACCUGCGAUCCGGUGCGGAAGUGGCCCUUUUUAAUCACCUCUGCCCGGAAGGUGGGAGAGCAAGUAGUCGCCGCCGAUUCCUUCGCUUCGCUUCGCUUCUUUGAGAUCCCCAAUCCUCGUCGUUAACUCUCUCUUUCUGAUCCCCCUUCGCCAGUAGCGGAUCUCGGUUCGCGAUGGCGGAGAGGACCGAGAUCUCGUUCGCCGGCAGAUUGGCCAGCAGCGCCAUUGCCGCCUGCGUCGCCGAGAUUUCCACGCUUCCUUUGGAUACUGCAAAAGUCAGGCUUCAACUACAGAAGAAAGCAUCAUCAGGGGAUGCAAUGAGUACUUCUAGAUAUAGGGGAAUGUUAGGGACUGUAAUAACAAUACUUAGUGAGGAAGGUUUGGUAGCAUUAUGGAAAGGCCUGGUGCCCGGGCUUCAUCGUCAAUGCAUUUUCGGUGGGUUGAGGAUUGGGUUGUAUGAACCUGUGAAAGCCUUUUAUGUUGGUGAUAGUUUUGUUGGAGAUAUUCCUUUGUUCAAGAAAAUUCUUGCUGGUCUUACAGCUGGUGCUCUGGGAAUCACCAUCGCAAAUCCAACUGAUCUUGUAAAAGUACGCCUCCAAGUCGAAGGGAAACUUCCACCUGGUGUACCAAGGCGUUAUUUAGGAGCAUUGGAUGCUUAUGUCAAAAUAAUCAAACAGGAAGGACUUGGGGCUCUGUGGACUGGUGUUGGUCCUAAUAUUGUACGAAAUGCUAUUGUUAAUGCUGCUGAAUUAGCCAGCUAUGAUCAAAUAAAACAGAUGAUCUUGAGAAUCCCUGGAUUUUCAGACGACAUUUUCACCCAUCUUUUAGCUGGUUUGGCUGCUGGGUUUUUUGCUGUUUGUGUUGGUUCUCCUGUUGAUGUGGUAUAUUUUUCUAUUCUACUCAUUUUUAGAUUGAUUGAUGUAGUUUUCACUGUGAAAUAUGGAAUGAUUGUUUCUAAAAUCUUCUUAAAUUACUUUAUAAUACAUAAUUUUUGUUAAGAUAUAAUAAAUAAACAGAAUAUGGUUGGAUUACAUAUUAUGGGAAGCACUCAACUUCUUUUGAUGAUUAUUCUCUAUUCUAUGGUCCUGACAUUCUUUAGUGGAGAGACUAAGAGGUGGAUCAAUUUGUAUGACCCUAUACAACCUAUGGGAAUGCAGCAUAGAGUUAUAUGACACCACACAACCUAAGUGAGCAGAUAAAGCUACGAAGAUAGGUCUGCGCAAUUAGCAAUUUGAGGAUUCAGGAUGUUUCACCUCUCUAACCAAAUCAAAUUUUUAACUCUGCAUUCUUGUCACCACACAACACCGUUGGAUUUGGUGAGUAGCCUUCAGCCCUCUAACUCCCUUCUUGGUGCAGUGAAUACACAAACCAUUUCCAUACAGAGCUACCUAAGGAACUGUGUGAACACGUGUAGGUCUGAAAAUGUUGAGGAUGUAGAUGAGAUUGAUCUAGCCUAACAACAUUGACCUUAAUGAAGGUUUCAACCUUACUGAGUUAAGCCUUGACUAAACAGAUGUUGAAGGUAGGAUUUGAUGAUAGUUGAAACAAAAAUGUCCAAACUCUCUGAUCGUCAUUGUGCCUACAAGCAUUAUUACUGGAAAUGGAUUCCAAGUUUCCACUAAAUGUGCCUGCUAUAAAUGCAGACAUGAGGUAAGGAUUAGAAGCAUACAUAGAAGGUGUGUAAGCAUGUGCUGUAUAUGGAUGAUGGAGAAAACUACUUUGAAUUUGGAUUUACUCUCCUUGCACUCAAAUUGCUAACAUCUUUGCUGUACUGACUAGCCCUAAGUGAAAGUCUGAUCAACAGUCUCUCUUAUUUCUCCAAACAAGAGUGGUGACAGCUGAUUAGCUGGCUCUCUCCUUUCCCACUUCACAUGCAAGUUUUUUGCCAACUCCGACAGUUGGUCGGUUUCUACUUGUAGGUCAAGUCGAGAAUGAUGGGGGAUCCAUCCUAUAAAAACACACUCGAUUGCUUCAU